UUACAAAUCACCUGGAGAUCUUGUUAAAGUACAGAUUCUGAUUCGGCAGUUCUGGGGCAGGGCCUGAGGUCCUGCAUCACUAACAAGUUCCCAGGUGAUGCUGAU
rnacentral:pre_miRNA from 1 species